CAAGCCUAGAGGCUUUGACGACAUUGAUAUUAAUCCACAAUUUGCCACCAUAGACAUCUACAUAAGGAUGUUUUCCAAUGUAAACCUGCAUUUCCAUUCCACUGAAUGAUUCCAUGUUGAUCACGACUCCUCUAUGAGCUUGUGCCUGGCCCUGCAUUUCCAUUCCAUUGUUGAACAAUUGGAGCGAGAGGUUGCUGAGCUUCGACAUGCCCU